GAGUUCCACCUUCAGGAGGUGGUUUUCCUAGUGUAAAAGUGCAAAAGCAAGUUCCCAUGUCGUCUGCUACUAACUCCAGUUUGAUGAAUUUCUCACAUUUCUCAAGACCUGCUGCUUUUGUUAAAGCUAAUCUUCAUAACAAUGGCACAAGAGCUGGUUCAGGAAUAUCAAGCAUCGAAAGAAUGGUUAGUAAGGAUAAGGGUUCAAUUGCUUUUGCACUUUA
rnacentral:misc_RNA from 1 species